GACGAACGCUGGCGGCACGCCUAACACAUGCAAGUCGAACGGACUUAAAAGAACUUUCUUUUUUUAGUUAGUGCCGGACGGGUGUGUAACACGUGAGCAAAACGUCCCUGAGAGGGGGGGAUCAUCUGGAGAAGGAUGGUAUUACCCCAGAAAAUAUAAAUAACGCCUGAUAUAUAUAUCAAAGAAAUUUGCUCAGAGAUGGGAUGGAGUCGGAUUAGAUAGUUGGGGAGGUAGCGGCUCACCAAGUGGACGAUCAGUAGCCGGACUCAGAGGCUGAACGGCCACAUUGGGAGUGAGAAACGGCACAGAAUCCUACGGGAGGCAGGAGUGGGGAAUAGUGCAAAGUGGAGUGAAUUAUGAUGCAGUGAUGCCGGGUGGAGGAUGAAGGUAGUCGGGUUGUAACGUCUUUUUAUCAGUGAACAUAAUGACGGUACCUGAAGAAAAAGCCCCGGCUAACUACGUG
rnacentral:rRNA from 1 species